UACGGGGGGGGCAAGCGUUGUUCGGAAUUACUGGGCGUAAAGGGCUCGUAGGUGGCCAACUAAGUCAGACGUGAAAUCCCUCGGCUUAACCGGGGAACUGCGUCUGGUACUGGAUGGCUUGAGUUUGGGAGAGGGAUGCGGAAUUCCAGGUGUAGCGGUGAAAUGCGUAGAUAUCUGGAGGAACACCGGUGGCGAAGGCGGCAUCCUGGACCAACACUGACACUGAGGAGCGAAAGCCAGGGGAGCAAACGGG
rnacentral:rRNA from 1 species